rfam:Ictidomys tridecemlineatus contig003709, whole genome shotgun sequence.
GGGAUUGUGGUUCAAUGGUAGAGCGCUCGUCUAGCAUGCUAGAGGCACUGGGUUCGAACCUCAGCACCA